GGAAGAGCUCAAAUUUGAAAUCUAGUAGCCUUCGGCUGCUCGAGUUGUAAUCUAUAGAAGUGUUUUCCGUGCUGGCUCAUGUACAAGUCCCUUGGAACAGGGCGUCAUAGAGGGUGAGAAUCCCGUACUUGACAUGAAUCACCAGUGCUCUGUGAUACACUUUCAAAGAGUCGAGUUGUUUGGGAAUGCAGCUCAAAAUGGGUGGUAAAUUCCAUCUAAAGCUAAAUAUUGGCGAGAGACCGAUAGCGAACAAGUACCGUGAGGGAAAGAUGAAAAGCACUUUGGAAAGAGAGUUAAACAGUAUGUGAAAUUGUUAAAAGGGAAACGAUUGAAGUCAAUCAUGUCCUUGGGUCUUACCACCCUUGGAUGGGGUCAACAUCAGUUUUGAUCGGUGGAUAAGGAUAGGAGGAAGGUAGCACUCUCGGGUGAACUUAUAGCCUCCUGUCGCAUACACUGG
rnacentral:rRNA from 1 species